rnacentral:rRNA from 1 species
GACGAACGCUGGCGGCGUGCCUAACACAUGCAAGUCGAACGGAGAUGUUGAUUUCGGUUGACGUCUUAGUGGCGAACGGGUGAGUAACGCGUGAACAAUCUGACCUUAAGAGGGGGAUAACAACGAGAAAUCGUUGCUAAUACCGCAUAAGACCACAAUGCCGCAUGGCGAAGGGGUCAAAGGAGCAAUCCGCUUAAGGAGGGGUUCGCGUCCCAUUAGGUAGUAGGUGAGGUAACGGCUCACCUAGCCGACGAUGGGUAGCCGAGCUGAGAGGCUGAUCGGCCACACUGGAACUGAGACACGGUCCAGACUCCUACGGGAGGCAGCAGUGGGGAAUAUUGGGCAAUGGGCGCAAGCCUGACCCAGCAACGCCGCGUGAGGGAAGAAGGUUUUCGGAUUGUAAACCUCUGUCGCAGAUGACGAAACAAAUGACGGUAAUCUGUGAGGAAGCCCCGGCUAACUACGUG